AUGGGCUCCAGGCUCCUGUGCUGUGUGGCCCUCUGCUUCCUGGGAGCAGGUUCCCUGGACACAGCAGUUUUCCAGACUCCAAAAUACGUCAUCACGCGUGUGGGAAAUAAGAAGUCCCUAAGUUGUGAACAAAAGCUGAACCAUGAUGCUAUGCACUGGUAUAAGCAGGACUCCAAGCAAUUGCUGAAGAUUAUGUUUUCCUACAGUAAUAAGGCGCUCAUUCUAAAUGAGACAGUUCCAAGUCGUUUCUUACCUGAAUCUCCGGAUAAAGCUCAUUUGAAACUUGAUAUCAACUCGUUGGAGCCGGGUGACUCUGCUGUGUAUCUCUGUGCUAGCAGCCAAGACACAGCCCUGCAAAGUCACUGCCUCCCUGUGCACAAACCUGCUGGCCCAGCCAGGAAGCUGUGGGAACAACGUGUUCACCCAGCACACCCUGCUGUGAGACCCCUGACUGGAGUUUCAUCUGUAGUAUAG